UCCUUCUGGCAAUGAGCAAAGAGACACUUUGUGGUUGAUGGUGUUUUUCUGUCAGUCAGGGGCAGAGCAGAAGGCAGUCCUUUGUUCAUCCUAGCUUGAUGCCUGGCUUGGUGGCCAAAGCUUAUGUCUAGGACUCAUCA
ensembl:snoRNA LOC120099481 small nucleolar RNA SNORA48